rfam:Oryza sativa Japonica Group DNA, chromosome 3, cultivar: Nipponbare, complete sequence.
AAUAAAUACAGUUUUAGCACGGUUCAUGUUCAAUGUUUGACCGUUUGUUUUAUUUGAAAAAAAGAUUAUGAUUAGUAUUUUUAUUGUUAUUAGAUGAUAAAACAUGAAUAGUAUUUUAUGUGUGACUAAUUUUUUUUAAUAUUUUUCAUAAGUUUUUCAAGACGGAUGGUCCAAGCGCUAAACACGGAUAUCUAUAGCUGUACUUAUU